rnacentral:pre_miRNA from 1 species
UAUAAUGUUUUAACUCUUUAUCUUAUUUAAAAAUUUUUUACGAUUAAUAUUUUUAUUGCUACUAUAUGAUAAAAAUAUAAAUAGUACUUUAUGCUUGAUUAAUUUUUUUAAGUUUUUAUAUAAUUUUUUUAAAUAAGACGAACAGUUAAACGUUAAACAUAAAAACCGA